GUGACCACUGUGGGUUUUUCUUUCACUAACAGAGGGGUACCAACAAUUUUGUCCACGUGUUUCAACCAGCAAGUAGGAAGACACACAAUCGAGUACAAUCUAACUCUUCUUCCUCAGCCAAACAAGAGUCACAUGUCUUCUGGAAGCAUGACUUUAAAUGUCAUGGCAAUCUGCUGAAGGAACAAAUCUUGCCUUGUAGCAGCAGAGUACACAGCAAAAAAGAAGUCAUGUGCAACUGAAGACAUCGCCUGUGGUGCAACAAUAAUAAUGGCAAAGGGGUUGGGUUGCAGCGGCCAGGAAGUGGACGGGCCAUUCGGGAAACUCUCAAAAUUCCAGAUGGCCACCACGCCUGUGGAUUCGUUGGAUUCAUCUGUCUGCUGCCAUCGGGGAUUCGUGUGCAGUUUGCAUCAUGUUCAAAUUGGCCAACCUUCUUUCUUCAAUUUUA